UACGGGGGGAGCAAGCGUUGUUCGGAUUUACUGGGCGUAAAGGGCGCGUAGGCGGUCAGCACAAGUCAGUUGUGAAAUCUCCGGGCUUAACUCGGAAAGGUCAACUGAUACUGUGCGACUAGAGUGCAGAAGGGGCAACUGGAAUUCUCGGUGUAGCGGUGAAAUGCGUAGAUAUCGAGAGGAACACCGGUGGCGAAGGCGGGUCUCUGGGCCGUAACUGACGCUGAGGAGCGAAAGCAUGGGGAGCGAACAGG
rnacentral:rRNA from 1 species